rnacentral:rRNA from 1 species
AGAGUUUGAUCAUGGCUCAGGAUGAACGCUGGCGGCGUGCCUAACACMUGCAAGUCSAGCGGUAUAUACUUAAACMAAUCUUCSGAAGAGCGAGAGUAUGGAGAGCGGCGGACGGGUGAGUAACSCGUAGGCMACCUGCCCCMUACMGAGGGAUAGCCUCGGGAAACCGGGAUUAAAACCUCAUAACGCCMAGAGUUCACAUGGACUUUUGGCCMAAGAUUUAUCGGUAUGGGAUGGGCCUGCGUCUGAUUAGCUAGUUGGUGGGGUAACGGCCUACCAAGGCAACGAUCAGUAGCCGACCUGAGAGGGUAAUCGGCCACAUUGGAACUGAGACMCGGUCCAAACUCCUACGGGAGGCAGCAGUGGGGAAUAUUGCACAAUGGGCGAAAGCCUGAUGCAGCAACGCCGCGUGAGCGAUGAAGGCCUUUGGGUCGUAAAGCUCUGUCCUUGGGGAAGAAAA